rnacentral:rRNA from 1 species
AUUGAACGCUGGCGGAAUGCUUUACACAUGCAAGUCGAACGGUAGAGGGGGCAACCCCUCGAGAGUGGCGAACGGGUGAGUAAUAUAUCGGAACGUGCCCAGUCGUGGGGGAUAACGUAGCGAAAGUUACGCUAAUACCGCAUACGAUCUAAGGAUGAAAGCGGGGGAUCGCAAGACCUCGCGCGAUUGGAGCGGCCGAUAUCAGAUUAGGUAGUUGGUGGGGGCAAGGCUCACCAAGCCAACGAUCUGUGGCGGGUCUGAGAGGACGAACAGCCACCCUGGAACUGAGACGCGGUCCAGACUCCUACGGGAGGCAACAGUAGGGAAUUUUGGACAAUGGACUCAAGUCUGAUCCAGCCAUUCCGCGUGCAGGAUGAAGGCCCUCGGGUUGUAAACUGCUUUUGUACGGAACGAAAAGGUCUCUCUUAAUACGGGGGACUCAUGACGGUACCGUAAGAAUAAGCACCGGCUAACUACGUGCCAGCAGCCGCCGUAA